rnacentral:lncRNA from 1 species
AGUUAAGAGGUCUGAGGUGGGUGCUAGGUUCUUACUCUCUGAUGAAAAAUACGGCUUGGAGCAGGGGACUUUGGACUUUCCCACCCAGAGCCCUUCUGGGGAAAUUCUUUGGGAGAUGGCCAAGACUCUCUGUCAGCAGCAACUGCCACAGAUCCUGGCACCCGUCAGUGGAUGGACUCGUCAUAGUUUUUGGUUUUCUUCCAUCACAAGGAUUGUAACCAGGAUUGACCCCUUGAGCUGAGUAAGACGCCUCCUCGGGCUUUUUCUCUUGGUGUGGGAGGUGAGACACCCUGAAGAGGGAGGAAUACUUUUCACAAUAGAAGAGU